rnacentral:tRNA from 5 species
GGGGAUAUAGCUCAGCUGGGAGAGCGCCUGCAUGGCAUGCAGGAGGUCGGGGGUUCGAGCCCCCCUAUCUCCACCA